GUAAAUACCAUUCCUAUUCUCCAUCAAACGCCAGAGUCCGAUCACGAUUACACGUGUUCACUUCUUAACAGAACUCACACAUUCAAUCAGAUUAUUUUAUCACACCAAGAUUUCCCUUCUCCCUAUAUAAGGCACUUCAAAAACCCUAAUUCGCUUACACACAGGGACUGGGAGGCUUGCAGCUACGAGAGCAGAAGCGUUUCUCUACCCUCACAGCACCGGGCCGUCGUAGCUAGCUGCUCCUUCGAAAAUGAAGUUCAAUAUUGCAAAUCCUACCACUGGGUGCCAGAAAAAGCUCGAGAUAGAUGAUGACCAGAAACUGUAUUGAUCUCUUUCUUUUAUUCAUUAUUAUUUUUAGCUUUUAGUUUAAGUUUGCAUCUAUUAUCUGUUAUUGUAGAUGGUGAAAUUUUGUACUGGAGAAUAGUUAUGCUAUCAAGAAAUUUUAUAAAUUAUGUAUCUGAAAAAGGAAAGGAAUUUAAAUUUGUUGGGUAUGGAUAUCGUAUCAGAUUUGGAUUCUGGAAAACAGCUAGCUUCCUUUAAUUCAGCCUAAGCGCUCACAUUGGUUAGUUUAGUUACUUUUGACAACUGGAUGUGGUAGAGUUGUAUGAAUGGGGUUGCUGGUGUAUGAAUGGGGUUGCUGGUGUUUGAAUUUUGCAAUGCCAUCUGAUUAUUGUAGUCUUAGCAUGUGUACUUGAUUAUUAAAACCUAUUCUGUAGUAUAUGGUGCUUCUUUUAUUAAUUAUAAAGUUCAGUCGUAAUUCCCUUUAUGUUGCUUUGUGCACCUACGAGAAACAAAAUUGAAAGAACAUAAUCAAUUUUGAAUUGUACCCGUUUGUCCAUUAGUAAGAAUUUACUGUUUGUAACGUGUCCAAUAUGUUUUUUAACCCGAAAGAAUAUGAGAGAUGACUCCCUCCUUUUGUUGCUUAGGUUAUAAGGUUAAUUUGUCCUAGCUUAGUACUAAAAGGCAUUUAAGAGCAAUAAACGAGGAGGUUUUCAAGCAUUUCAAUUCUCUUUCUAUGCUUAAAAAAGGGAAGAAUGAACAUGAUACUUCUCUGAUAGUGUAGAUGAAUUCUUCCUUCAAGCGCAUCAAUGGUUUAUUUUGUAUUCUUAACUUGUUAAUCUUACCAAAACCAAACUAUAACAAAGUGGCUCUAACUGCUGUGGCUCUAACUGCUGUGGCAUGUUUUUUGAGUGAUUUCAUGGUAUGCUGAAAAACCUUGCUAUUCAUAAAUGUUAGCAUGUUACUCAUGUCAAAGGUUUCUUGCUACAGCCGUGUGUUUUUUGACAAAAGGAUCUCACAAGAAGUCAGUGGGGAUGCCCUGGGUGAGGAGUUCAAGGGUUAUGUAUUUAAGAUUAUGGGAGGUUGUGACAAGCAGGGUUUCCCAAUGAAACAAGGAGUUCUAACUCCUGGCCGUGUUCGACUUUUGCUUCAUAGAGGGACCCCUUGCUUCCGUGGAUAUGGCAGGCGAAAUGGAGAACGUAGAAGGAAGUCUGUUCGUGGAUGCAUUGUUAGCCCAGAUCUAUCAGUCUUGAACUUGGUUAUUGUCAAGAAAGGUGAGAAUGAUCUGCCUGGACUGACAGACAUUGAGAAGCCUAGAAUGAGAGGUCCUAAGAGGGCAUCAAAGAUCCGGAAGCUGUUCAACCUCUCCAAAGAGGAUGAUGUCCGGAAGUACGUUAACACUUACCGCCGAACAUUUACAACCAAAUCUGGUUAGCAGCUGUAUCAUUAUUUUCUUUUUAUUAUAUUAUUUAAAUUUAAUAUGUUCCUCAGAGAACAAAGUACUUUCUUAAUUGAAUGGGUGAUAAUUUGGAUUACUUCAGGAAAAAAUUUUUAAGUGCAUUUGAUAAGAUGGUGUUUUCUGACUUGGUAGGUAAGAAGGUUAGCAAAGCUCCCAAAAUUCAGAGGCUUGUAACUCCCUUGACUUUGCAAAGGAAGCGUGCUAGAAUAGCGGACAAGAAGAAGAGAAUUGCAAAGGCCAAGGCUGAGGCAGCCGAGUAUCAGAAGCUCCUUGCCACCAGGUUGAAGGAGCAGCGUGAACGCCGCAGUGAGAGCUUGGCAAAGAAGAGAUCUAGACUGUCUGCUGCGUCAAAGCCCUCUGUUGUGGCAUAGAAUGUUUCACGUUGGUCUAUGUCUAUGAGCGAAGUCAUUUAUUAAAUAGGUUGAGGUAAUUUUGAUUGUUCUUUGGAUUUUGAAAGUUAAGUUAAAAUGUUUCCUGCAUUUAUAACAAUUUCAAACAUCUGAAAUUUUUGCUUUCAUUUUAAUGUGUUGUGGGAUUGUUAACCAUUUCAUUAAGCUCUCUUGUUCUAUUGUUUUGAAUCCUGGAUUUAUGGUAGAUGACGUUUUAUACAUGUUGAAGGAUUAAUUUGCUGCACAGUCGAUGUUCUCUUAUUCUUUUGUAUUUUAAACCCUUCAGGAUCGAGC
rnacentral:misc_RNA from 1 species